rnacentral:misc_RNA from 1 species
GGUACGGGAAGCUUCCAACCCCCCUUUGGGGGUUAUGUUUGGUCAAUUUUUUUUGACCGGGGUUUACGGACCCC